GGAUUUGAUGAGGAGCUGUCUUCCAUCUAAAUGUGUCAAUACAAAGUGGAAGCCACAGAGUGCUUCCACGAGGGAUAAGGUAUGCUCAAAGAACAGGUCAUCACCCUUUCGCUUAAAUUUUGGGUGCUCUUUUUGUUGUAGGACAAAAACAAUAUCCCCCGUGAUGGUGUCUGGCUGCAGAAGAGAAAAAACAACAUGCAAGGAUCAAUGACAAUACCCUAGAGAACUGAAGUAUAGAAGUACCAAAUAACAAAUCCUCAAAAGAUUAAAAAAAACAAUUUAGAAUUUCAAACAACACAAUCAAAUGAAAGGAAGGAGACCUACCGCUUCAUCAGCUUCGCCAGGGAAUGUGAUCCUCUGACCAUUUUGCAUACCCUUCUCCACAAUGACUUCCAAGACUUUCUUUUCCUGAACAACCUUCUCACCCUUACAUUGUGUGCAGCGAUCCUUGUCAUUAAUGGUCUCCCCAGUACCCUUGCACUCAUUGCAAGGAUGCUGCAUUUGCUGGAUCAUGGAGGGGCCGAGGUGUCUAAUAGAGACUUUCAUUCCAGAACCUUGGCACCCAGGACAUUUCAAAGAAGCACCUGACUUUGACCCUUUACUGCAUGUCAUAUAAAAUCUCCAUAUCAGAACCAUAAACUACUAAAAUAAAUUGCUGACAACAUACAAUUUUAGAUAUUAAAUACUAACCCCCUGCACUUGGAGCAGAUUAUGUUGCGAGAGAGAGAAAGCUUCUUGGAUGUCCCAUUGUAGAGAUCUUCCAAAGAAACCUUGAGGGGAUGGAUCACAUCCUCUCCCCUUCUCUGCCUUCGGCCUCUGCUGCUUCCACCCCC
rnacentral:lncRNA from 1 species